UUUCCACCUAUGGUAACGCCGGUCUCCUAAGGUGAGCUCAGGGAGGUCAGAAACCUCUGUGAAGCAUAAGGGCAAAAGCUCACUUAAUCUUGAUUUUCAUUACUAAUACAGACCAUGAAAGUGAGGCCUCACAAUCCUUCUGACCUUUUGGGUUUUAAGCAGGAG
rnacentral:ncRNA from 1 species